UGGCUUUUAGCUGAACUAAGGAGAAAGUCCUACAACAGUUUGGCGUGCAACAUGGGGCUUGAGAAAGGUAGAGACGGGGUUUCACCAUGUUAGCCAGGAUGGUCUCGAUCUCUUGACCUCGUGAUCCGCCCACCUCGGCCUCCCAAAGUGAUGGGAUUACAGGCGUGAGCCACCGCGCCCGCCCCUCCAUGAAGAAAGUAUUUCUAAAUGAAAAAUGUUUAGGACGCUCAGGAGACAAAGAACAGAUUAAGGAAUGAUCUCCACCGCACAGACCUCAAGCCUCUUAUGCGUGCAGGGCACAGUUCCAGUGCAAAUGUCCGCAGGGACGGACGGCAUGAGGGCCCCCACUGGGUGCCUCGGGCUCCUUCCAGGGCCGCAGUUGAAGCGGGUCGUACUGCAGGCGUGCAGAAAGGCUGGGGUUCCUCUCCUUUUCGGGCUCCUUCCUGAUGGAAUCCUAGGUUUUCAGCGGUUCCUUCCUGAUGGAAUCCUAGGUUUUCAGCGGUUCCUUCCUGAUGGAAUCCUAGGUUUUCAGCAGCUUCCGGAGGCGGCCUGGACUGCAGAAGGCGCCCGGGCAUGUGUACUUCCACCUCCGCAGGCGCUGGCAUCUCCAGGCUGCUUCAGGCCGCUUUGGACCUCACCAUCGGUAGCAUCUGCGUCUUCUUGAGGUGACUGGAGCCCGUCUGUGGUUUCAGCCAUUGACUUCUGGACAUGGGAGUGUCGAGGCCAUUUUUGGCCCCUCUCAUAUCCGGGAAGGGCUCCGUGCCCAGUGGAGGCGCAGUGCAGCAGCCAGCUCGCAGCAGCGCUCCCGUAGAGCCGAUGGCAUCGGCAGGAGUGGCGGCUCAGCACAGGGAAGUUAUCCAGUGCCCAGGCCCAGGCUUGCUCUCGGUUUAGGUCCCAUGGCACGUGGGGCUCUAGACCUGCCUGCCUCCAAGACAGCUCUUCCAAGGUUGAUGGUUGGAACUGCACAGCCUCAGCCUGGCAAGGCUUGACCAGGCCCAGCCAUAGCUAGUCUAGGAAAAGAGCAAAUGGCCGUGUUUUUAUAUUUUGACGUUUGCAUUUCAAUAUUAAUUUUUUUUGGUAAUCUAAUGCAUUCAAAACAUGGUUCUCAAAAAAAAAAAAAAGAAAAGAAAAAGAAAAAAGCAUGUUUCUAACCAGGGGUCCUUCAUCUUCUGCAGAGGCCAAGGGUGUCCCUGGCACAGUAAAAGUUUGGAAGCCCUGCCCUAAAGCCUCACCUCACCUGGCAGCUGGCUGUUUCAUUCAUAGCAAAUGUUCUGUAUAUUCACCAUGUACCAAACACACAUGUCACUAACGAUACAGACAUAUGUGCACUGACAUUGACCUCCUCACUGUCUUACUAUAGUCCCAUCCACAGCCACCUUAUCAGAGUCCAUGGGACUCUGACAACUUGUAAUGGGAAAAUUAACCAUGCCUGUAGGGGUGGACGGCCUGGGUAGCGGGAGGUGAUUUGUGAGUACCAGGAAAGCUGGCCCUGGGGCAGACCUGGGCAGGGCAGAGCACAGCUUGUAGGACCUAGUACACAGUGUGGGGAACUGAAUUUGGGUUUUGACCUUUAAAGCUGUGCAUAAAGUGUAAAACAAGAAGAGGAGUGGAGGCUGGGGUCGUAUUUGUAGUUUAAAAUGAGCAUUUGCCACACAAGGCCAGGAGCUUCAGACCAGCCUGGUUAACACAGCGAGACCCUCCUCUCUGUGAGAAAUUAAAAAAAAUAAUAAUAAAAGCCAGGCAUGUUGGCAUGUGCC
rnacentral:sRNA from 1 species